rnacentral:rRNA from 1 species
AGAUGGCGACCGGCGCACGGGUGAGUAACACGUAUCCAACCUGCCGAUAACUCGGGGAUAGCCUUUCGAAAGAAAGAUUAAUACCCGAUGGUAUAUCAGACCGCAUGGUUUGAUUAUUAAAGAAUUUCGGUUAUCGAUGGGGAUGCGUUCCAUUAGGCAGUUGGUGAGGUAACGGCUCACCAAACCUUCGAUGGAUAGGGGUUCUGAGAGGAAGGUCCCCCACAUUGGAACUGAGACACGGUCCAA